GGAAUAUUGCACAAUGGGGGAAACCCUGAUGCAGCCAUGCCGCGUGUGUGAAGAAGGCCUUCGGGUUGUAAAGCACUUUCAGUAGGGAGGAAAGGGUGUAGUUUAAUACGCUAUAUCUGUGACGUUACCUACAGAAGAAGGACCGGCUAACUCCGUGCCAGCAGCCGCGGUAAUACGGAGGGUCCGAGCGUUAAUCGGAAUUACUGGGCGUAAAGCGUGCGCAGGCGGUUUGUUAAGCGAGAUGUGAAAGCCCUGGGCUCAACCUAGGAAUAGCAUUUCGAACUGGCGAACUAGAGUCUUGUAGAGGGGGGUAGAAUUCCAGGUGUAGCGGUGAAAUGCGUAGAGAUCUGGAGGAAUACCGGUGGCGAAGGCGGCCCCCUGGACAAAGACUGACGCUCAUGCACGAAAGCGUGGGGAGCAAACAGGAUUAGAUACCCGAG
rnacentral:rRNA from 1 species